rnacentral:rRNA from 1 species
GAUGAACGCUAGCGGCAGGCUUAAUACAUGCAAGUCGAGGGGUAGCAAGAUUGUAGCAAUACAAUUGUUGACGACCGGCAAACGGGUGCGGAACACGUACACAACCUUCCUACAAGUGGGGAAUAGCCCAGAGAAAUUUGGACUAAUACCCCGUAACAUAGCGAUGUGGCAUCACAUUGCUAUUAUAGCUUCGGCGCUUGUUGAUGGGCGUGCGGCUGAUUAGAUAGUGGGCGGGGUAACGGCCAACCAAGUCUACGAUCAGUAGCUGAUGUGAGGGCAUGAUCAGCCACACGGGCACUGAGAACCGGGCCCGGCUCCUACGGGAGGCGGCAGUAAGGAAUAUUGGACAAUGGACGCAAGUCUGAUCCAGCCAUGCCGCGUGAAGGAUUAAGGUCCUCUGGAUUGUAAACUUCUUUUAUAAGGGACGAAAAAAGGUCUUUCUAGAUCGUCUGACGGUACCUUAUGAAUAAGCACCGGCUAACUCCGUGCCAGCAGCCGCCGUAAUAC